rnacentral:rRNA from 1 species
UAGGGAAUCUUCCGCAAUGGACGCAAGUCUGACGGAGCAACGCCGCGUGAGUGAUGAAGGUUUUCGGAUCGUAAAGCUCUGUUGCCAGGGAAGAACGCUUGGGAGAGUAACUGCUCCUGAGGUGACGGUACCUGAGAAGAAAGCCCCGGCUAACUACGUGCCAGCAGCCGCGGUAAUACGUAGGGGGCAAGCGUUGUCCGGAAUUAUUGGGCGUAAAGCGCGCGCAGGCGGUUAUUUAAGUUUGGUGUUUAAGCCCGGGGCUCAACCCCGGAUCGCACUGAAAACUGGAUGACUUGAGUGCGGGAGAGGAAAGUGGAAUUCCACGUGUAGCGGUGAAAUGCGUAGAGAUGUGGAGGAACACCAGUGGCGAAGGCGACUUUCUGGACCGUAACUGACGCUGAGGCGCGAAAGCGUGGGGAGCAAACA